rnacentral:hammerhead_ribozyme from 1 species
UACUAGUCGGGAGUUGUAGCCACUUCCCUGAUGAAUCUACAGCAAGAUUAAACUAAUG